rnacentral:rRNA from 1 species
GACGAACGCUGGCGGCGUGCUUAACACAUGCAAGUCGAACGGAAAGGCCCUGCUUUUGUGGGGUGCUUGAGCGGCGAACGGGUGAGUAACACGUGAGUAACCUGCCCUUGACUUUGGGAUAACUUCAGGAAACUGGGACUAAUACCGGAUAGGAGCUCCUGCUGCACGGUGGGGGUUGGAAAGCUUCGGCGGUUGGGGAUGGACUCGCGGCUUAUCAGCUUGUUGGUGGGGUAGUGGCAUACCAAGGCUUUGACGGGUAGCCGGCCUGAGAGGGUGGCCGGCCACGUUGGGACUGAGGUACGGCCCAGACUCGUACGGGAGGCAGAAGUGGGGAAUAUUGCACAAUGGGCGGAAGCCUGAUGCAGCAACGCCGCGUGCGGGAUGACGGCCUUCGGGUUGUAAACCGCUUUCGCCUGUGACGAAGCGUGAGUGACGGUAAUGGGUAAAGAAGCACCGGCUAACUACGUG